rnacentral:rRNA from 1 species
AUACGGAGGGUGCGAGCGUUAAUCGGAAUUACUGGGCGUAAAGGGCACGUAGGCGGCGAAGUCAGUCUGAUGUGAAAGCCCUGGGCUUAACCUAGGAAUGGCAUUGGAAACUGCUUAAGCUAGAGUGUGACAGAGGGUGGUGGAAUUCCCGGUGUAGCGGUGAAAUGCAUAGAGAUCGGGAGGAACAUCGAUGGCGAAGGCAGCCACCUGGGUCAACACUGACGCUGAGGUGCGAAAGCGUGGGGAGCAAACAGGAUUAGAUACCCCGGUAGUCC